rnacentral:rRNA from 1 species
UACGGGGGGGGCAAGCGUUGUUCGGAAUUACUGGGCGUAAAGGGCUCGUAGGUGGCCAACUAAGUCAGACGUGAAAUCCCUCGGCUUAACCGGGGAACUGCGUCUGAUACUGGAUGGCUUGAGUUCGGGAGAGGGAUGCGGAAUUCCAGGUGUAGCGGUGAAAUGCGUAGAUAUCUGGAGGAACACCGGUGGCGAAGGCGGGUCUCUGGGCAAUUCCUGACGCUGAGGCGCGAAAGCGUGGGGAGCAAACGGG